rnacentral:lncRNA from 1 species
CCGGGGUACCCCGCACCUCGCACUCCGAGCCCGCCCGGGCGGCGCCGGCUUCUCAGGGGGUCGGGCGGGGACCGUGGCCACCAGGCCUGUUCCGAAGCCCCGCCUCGGUCCUCUGAGGAUCUCGCGGGCUGUGGGCGGAAGCCAGCCGGGCAGAUGGGCGCGCCCCUCUUGUGCAGGCGGGGCCUUCCCACGCCUCGCAGCCGCCUCCGCCGUUUUGGAGCGGGAACCCAGGCGAGCCCGCCCACCCCUCUGAUGGGUUCGACCGAGCUUGAGCCAACGCGGCGGCGCGGGCCCUUGCGGGUGGGGAGGACCCGCCUGGGUCUCACACCUGCCGGCCGGGCGGCCCCGCGUCCUGGCGCCCCGGCAGCAGGCGCGGCGGGACCGGGCGCGAUGCCUGGUUUCUCCGGAGCCGCUACAAAAGGAAACUUUAAAACUUAGAUGUCCAGCGGCGCCAGACCUCCCCGAGCCUGGGCAGAGCCGGCUCCCUCUGCUCCACCCCAGCCGGGCCGGAGGGGGCAGCCCCGGGCAGCCGCAGGAGGACGCGGAGCGGGCCCCAGAGUGCCCACGGCCCACUUUUCCCCGACAGCCUCCGUCUCGGGAGAGGCCCACACGCCCUGCCCGCCACGGGGACAGCGGAGGCCCGGGGCGCCCGCGUCCUCGGAGCUCGCUGCCGGGAAGGCUUUUGCCCUCUGCGGGCCUCAGGUUUGGUGGCUCCCUUCCGGCUCCAGUGGAACCUGCCCUUGCAGAGCCCUGAACACACAGCAUGGCUUCAGACAGCCUCACCUUGUACCUGCUACCGGCUCUCCUUGGACUGUCACUCUACCCACCCCUACUCCACGAUUGCGUGAUAAACCCCUAUUCAGCCUUCAGAGCCCGCUUUACAGAGUCCCACUGUGUAGUCCAGGCUGGCCACAGACUAGAGGCGCUCCUCCUGCUUCUCUGAGGCUUCGAUCACAGACCCUGGGGAGAGGUGUGACAUCAACACCAGACAGAAGGUAAAAAUUGGAGAACCAUCUUGAUACCAGACAGCAAAGAGGACUCCGAGGCACCAGAGCCAACAUGGAGAGGUUUGUCAUCUAUAUGCCACCUUCCUGGUCCCUUCAGCUGGACUCAAAGUAGGGUGCUCUCCGUCCUUCACCAAAUCAUACCUAAGAGCAUCCCAUCCCUGUGAG